rnacentral:lncRNA from 1 species
UGUUUAAAAUUCUUCGGUUUUGUAAUUUUUAACAUUUUACAUAAUAGUACAUUAGAAAUUGACUUAAUAUUUAAUAUACACAUUGUGGAUGAAUGCUUGAAAAUGAUUUUACAGAUGGUGUGAGAUCAAAAGCAUUAGGAGUUCAACUUCCAACAUGUUAUCUAGGCUCUUGACAAUCUAAGGUACCCAGCGACCUCACAUGCUUGGUUCAUUCUUGUCUUCUGCAAUUAUAUGUAUAAAAUACAUAUCAUGCCUUCCUAUUUCCCUCUAAAAUGGGAUGCCUUUCUGGUCUCUUAAAAUUAUUUAGGACCUCAAAGACUUUUGUUCAAGCACCUUAUAUCUUAUUAUAUCUGAUUAUAUUUACCAUUUUAGAAAUUAAAACUAGGAAAUGACAAAGCACAGAUUGAUUGCACCAGCAAACACUCAAUAGCACCCAGCACAAUGACACGUUAUAGAGCCUCUGGAAAACACUGCAUGCUCUGGACGCCCUUCCUGCCCUCCACUCUCUCUCUCUCCUCUUCCUUUACCAGAUUCUGGUGGCAUUCCUGCCUUCUGUUCUGU